rnacentral:rRNA from 1 species
UACGUAGGGGGCAAGCGUUAUCCGGAUUUACUGGGUGUAAAGGGAGCGUAGGCGGCGACGCAAGUCAGAAGUGAAAGCCCGGGGCUCAACUCCGGGACUGCUUUUGAAACUGCGUUGCUAGAUUGCGGGAGAGGCAAGUGGAAUUCCUAGUGUAGCGGUGAAAUGCGUAGAUAUUAGGAGGAACACCAGUGGCGAAGGCGGCUUGCUGGACCGUGAAUGACGCUGAGGCUCGAAAGCGUGGGGAGCAAACA